AGCGGAGAUUGAGCAGUUGGGCACAUGUUGCUUCCUUAACUUUGCUCAACUGAGAUUGGAAGUCAGGGAGCCUUCCCAGGGCAGCUUGUCGGCUGAGGUGUUCUGCAGAGGUUGUGGACAUCCUGUCACUUAGCGUGAGGCCGCUGCUAGAGAGGGCUUCUCUGUGACAGCAGCCAUUGAGUGCGCUGGGUACCAGCCGUGUGCCGAAUCAUGGGCAUGACCUUGUGUCCUCUUGUUCUGGGACAUCCAUGUUCCUGCUCUCCCCCUUUUAAGACAGCAGCAUGGGACCUCUGUAACCCUGUGAGGGUCCACCUCUGGAGCAGCGUGGGACCUCUGUAACCCUGUGAGGGUCCACCUCUGGAGUAGCAUGGGACCUCUGUAACCCUGUGAGGGUCCACCUCUGGAGCAGCAUGGGACCUCUGUAACCCUGUGAGGGUCCACCUCUGGAGCAGCAUGGGACCUCUGUAACUCUAUGAGGGUCCACCUCUGGCUGGUGAUAGCCACGGCAGGCUUUCCCACCUUCCACCCCCAGCAGCUGCCUCACAGUGGCAGCUAUGGCACAUGCCUGAGUCUUAGCUCUGUCACGAGACUUUAUUGUUGUACCUUUUGGACAGAUUGACGUUUCAGGACAAUCAAAAUGUAAUUGCUGGUACUUUGGGGUGGGGGUUACAGCUGCUCAUGAUGGCCCCACCCACAAUGGCUGGCCCCUCCCAUAUCAGUCACUAAUGAAGAACAUGUCCUACAGGCUUGUGUAGAGUGUGAUCUGGAGGCAUUUUCUUAAUUAAUUAGGGUUCCCUCUUCUCAGAUGGCUCUAGGGUGUGUCAAGUUGACAUAAAACCAGCGCACACACACACACACACACACACACACACUUUUUUUUUUUUUUUUUUUUUUUUGAGGCAGAGUCUCUCCCUGAACCCGGAGCUCACCAGUCAUCCCAGUAUCCCUGGAGGUAUUCUGGUGUUUAAGGAACUGUUUUACAGCCAAGAUCUUAGUUCCCCUGAGCAGAAACUCAAAAAUCAAGCUACUGCUAAGCUGGGAUCUUCUUUCCUUCUUUCUGGCUUACACGUGAUUGACUUGCCAGCAGAAAUUAGAAGAGAGCCUAUGUCUGUAAAGAAAAGCUUCUUGACAGAGCAGUGUGAGCUCGGAGCUGGCUUGCCUGCGGUUAACUGUGCCUUUCACACUUUAGUAAGAGCUGGGGAACUAGCCUGCGCUGUGCUGGACAGACAGCUGAUUUUUAGCAGUGGCCUGGGUGGUUGUGGCCACACCUCCUGGGUUCUGUCGACAGCCUCUGCUAAUGAAGUGUGGUACCUUUAAGUAAAGGUCACAGGCCUGACCUGGGCUGUGUGGGUUUCUUGUUUGUGAGGCUGGAGGCAUUUUCUCAUUUUCACAGUUGAGCUGAAAACAAAGGCCGCCUUAUCCUUGCAGGGAGCUGCUCUCAGAGAGCUGACGUCAGCCUUUUCCUGGCCGGCCUCGCCUCUGCCUUAAGAGUCUCUGCAGAGAGCUGCUCAGGCAGGCCACCAUCUUGCUCCUGGCAUUUUUCUGGCUGAAUAACGAAUAACACAUGAAAUGAAGAAAUGCCAAGGGUGUCAGGAGCCAGGGGACAGAACAAAAGCACUGUCAACCAAGUGCAAUCCUGGCUGUGUGGGGACUCGCCAGCUUUGUGGCUGUAAUCGGUCCUGGGGGUUACAGAAGUGGGUCAGAACUUUGGGGAAGGGAGGCUUACCAGGAGCGAGAGUGUGUGCAGGGUCGUGUUCUAAAGGGUCACACCGAAAUCAGCAAAGCAGGAGUGACUGAUGCGUUACAUCAAAGAUAUUUAUUCAAAAUUAGAAGGUCCCCUGCCCAGGCCCCAAGGCGUUCAGCUGGGGACAGAGAGUGCAGCUGUUUGGACUACAGAUGGUUAAUCUGGGCAUUGCCUAGUUCAUAGAACUCUUCUUGCUGGAACACAAAGCCAGCCUGUCCUGAAAUAAAGUGCUGUUCUCUUAGGUCUCUGAAAGAUCCAACUGAGGAAAGAGGAAAGAUAGAGACACUGCUGAGGGGUUGGCCAGGGUGUGGGUUGAUGGCGCCUCCCCUCCUCCGAGAUCUCCUACUCCCUACUCGCUGGGCCUCACUGCAGGAGGAGGCAGGAGCAGCUCUGGUGUUUACACUUGACCAGCACGGCACUUGUCUCUUGCUUUGCUGUGUUGUUCGGUCGAAACACUUUUUAUUUUUAUAAUAUCUCCCGAGCAUACUCAAAGAGCUUAAAGCUGUCCUGGGGUCUGGUGACAGAGACAAGCCUGCCCACAGGAGGGUCUGAAUUCUGGAGCCUCAGCUCCCUGGCUGGCAGAGAAGCCCGGCCUCUGCUGUUCCUGCUGAUUGGCUUCUUGUUGCCUCCCUUGAGGAGUCCUAAGAGAUGGCCCGAGGAUGCCAGGCCCAGUGGUACAUACCCUAUGACCCAGCACGUGGGAUGCUGAAACAGGGGAUUGGAGAGUCCAUGGCCAGGCUGGGCUACAUAGCAGUGGUCUCCAGCAAAGGAAGGGAGGGUGGGAGCUCAUGGAUGGUCACAGGAACAGUUUCAGCACUGAGUGUCGUGGGAGUCCGUUGGCUCUCAUUAGAUCAGCAAGUCAGGGGCUCAGCCACUGCUGAGGUUGUCUGAGGAGCUGCUGGGUGUACAUGGCGGAAUGUCUAUGCAAAUUUCCAGGUUCUGGGUCAGACAUAGUUUUCAGCCCAGAGUUUCUCCAAGGGAAAGAGCUCUGGGGCCUGUGGUAGUCUGGCUUGUGGUCCUUCACAAUCCACGAGUUGAAGCCCCUCUCCUCCAGUGCGAAGGUCUUUGGAGUUCUUAAGGUUAGAUGAGGUUAGGAGGUGAGCCCUGCUCAUGUGGGGUUAAUGCCCUGGGAAGAAGAGACCACAGUGCAUUGUUCCUUCAUUCUGUAUGAGGAUUCAGAGGAGGACAGCGAGCGUCUAUGACUUGCCAGCGGUGGUACAGACGGGUCGUAGGCCUCCAGGGACUGUCGUUUAACGUGUUGUUUAGAUCUGUUGUCGAUUCACUGUGGAGCAAAACUUCUCUCAGAGAUGUGGCCCGACAUAACGAGCAGUUGAUUUCAGAAUUCCAUUGUAAACUUUCAGACCCUCGAAGCUUAACUUGGAAAAUGAAGUACCUGGUCAAUUCCCCGAUACAAGGCUAUUGAGUGCCCCCCUUUAACAGAGGGAACUAUCAGGGUGUCCACUGAGGGCCGAGAGAUUGAGGAAGCUGGGCCAGGUUCCCCCUGAUGCUCUGCCCACAAGGUGGCAGAUUUGGGGGACACUUGUAAUUCCAUGUUGUGAUGACUCCAGAAGGAAUCUCUUUUGGCUGAUCCUCCUAUGACCCUUCUUUUUGUGUUCCCCUUUCUACCUUGGGAGCCACUCUUCCCAAGAUUUUUCUUCCUUCUCCCUGUGCCCUUU
rnacentral:lncRNA from 1 species